rnacentral:ncRNA from 1 species
CGGCUUUGUUCCUCUUGGAGGAUUAAUAGGGAAUCAGGUGAAAAUCCUGAACAGACCCGCUGCUGUAAAUUCCGCAAAGUACCGUACAACUCAUAGCCACUGUAAGAAAAUGGGAAGGCUGUAUGGUAUGGAAUAAGUCAGAAGACCUGCAAAGUGAU